rnacentral:rRNA from 1 species
GACGAACGCUGGCGGCGCGCUUAACACAUGCAAGUCGAGCGAAGCGGCGGACGGGUGAGUAACACGUGAGUAACCUGCCUUAGACAUUGGGAUAGCCUCGGGAAACCGGGAUUAAUACCAAAUGGUCUAAGAUGGACUCGCGUCCCAUUCGCUAGUUGGUGAGGUAACGGCCCACCAAGGCGACGAUGGGUAGCCGGCCGGAGAGGGGGAACGGCCACAUUGGAACGGGGAAACGGCCCAGACGCUACGGGAGGAAGCAGUGGGGGAUAGUGCACAAUGGGCGAAAGCCUGAUGCAGCGACGCCGCGUGGGGGAUGAAGGCUUUCGGGUUGUAAACCUCUUUCGCGAUCGAACGGGUAGGUGGAGAAGAAGCGCCGGCUAACUACGUGCCAGCAGCCGCGGUAAUUC